CCUACGGGGGGCUGCAGUUUCGAAUCAUUCACAAUGGGCGAAAGCCUGAUGGUGCGACGCCGCGUGAGGGAUGAAGGUCUUCGGAUUGUAAACCUCUGUCACCGGGGAAGAAACGCUUCAAGUUAAUAGUUUGAAGCCUGACUUAACCCGGAGAGGAAGCAGUGGCUAACUCUGUGCCAGCAGCCGCGGUAAUACAGAGACUGCAAGGGUUAUUCGGAGUGCGUGGGCGUACAGGGGUGUGAGGUGGGAAAGCCCGGAGCUUAACUCCGGAAUUGCUCCUCAAACUACAUGGCUAGAGCAUUGGAGAGGGUAGCAGAAUUCACGGUGUAGCAGUGAAAUGCGUAGAUAUCGUGAGGAAUACCAGAGGCGAAGGCGGCUACCUGGACAAUUGCUGACGCUCAGGCACGAAAGCGUGGGGAGCAAAAGGGAUUAGAUACCCGGGUAGUC
rnacentral:rRNA from 1 species